AACGAACGCUGGCGGCAUGCCUAACACAUGCAAGUCGAACGGGACCUUCGGAACUAGUGGCGCAUGAGUGUGUAGCGCGACGGAUGCUGCACGCAGGAUUGGAAUACCUCGCCGAAAGGGGUGCUAAUACCGGACAACGUCUACGGACCAAAGAUUUAUCGGCCUUGGAUGGGCCCGCGGUGGAAUAACUUGUUGGGAGGGUAAAAGGCUACCAAAGGGUCGAUCCAUAGCUGGUCUGAGAGGCUGGGCAGCCACACUUGGACUGAGGAACGGCCCCGACUUCUACGGGAGGGAGGAAUGGGGGAUAAUGGAACAUUGGGGGAAGCCUGAACGCGGAAUGGCGGGUGAGUGAUGAAAGGCUUAGGGAUGUAAAGCUCUUUUACCCGGGAAGGUUAUGACAGUACCCUAAGAAUAAGCCCCGGCUAACUUCGUG
rnacentral:rRNA from 1 species